ACCAACCGAGAUUAAAGGCGAGGUUUUAGCCCCGGUGCAUUGCGCUAGGACUAAAAAGGAGGGGCGGCUUUAGUCCCGGAAGGUAGUUCCGACUUGAAAUCCGGGACUAAAGCCUCUUGCCGGCCAAGACUAAAGGCCGAUCGUGUAGCAGUGACGGGUCGAUUUGGCCAAAUAUGAGAAUGCGUUUGGGGGCAAUAAAGUUACCCUUGUAGACAGAGUGGGUGGUGGCUUUUGUGCUGUAUGGGAAAAGAUGUAUACUUCUUGCAUGUUGAUAUUUAUCAUUUCGAGAAAUGUUGUAGUCUGUGUAAUGAGCGAACUCAUACUUUUUUUUGG
rnacentral:lncRNA from 1 species